rnacentral:rRNA from 1 species
GAUGAACGCUGGCGGCGUGCCUAAUACAUGCAAGUUGAGCGAACAGAUAAGGAGCUUGCUCCUUUGACGUUAGCGGCGGACGGGUGAGUAACACGUGGGUAACCUACCUAUAAGACUGGAAUAACUCCGGGAAACCGGGGCUAAUGCCGGAUAACAUGUUGAACCGCAUGGUUCUACAGUGAAAGGCGGCUUUGCUGUCACUUAUAGAUGGACCCGCGCCGUAUUAGCUAGUUGGUGAGGUAACGGCUCACCAAGGCAACGAUACGUAGCCGACCUGAGAGGGUGAUCGGCCACACUGGAACUGAGACACGGUCCAGACUCCUACGGGAGGCAGCAGUAGGGAAUCUUCCGCAAUGGGCGAAAGCCUGACGGAGCAACGCCGCGUGAGUGAUGAAGGUCUUCGGAUCGUAAAACUCUGUUAUUAGGGAAGAACAAAUGCGUAAGUAACUGUGCGCGUCUUGACGGUACCUAAUCAGAAAGCCACGGCUAACUACGUG